GAGUAGGAGGAAAGAGGGUUUUUUUGUUUUGUUUUGUUUUUAAAUCCUCCUAUCUGUCCUUCCUUCUGGAGUUAACUCCAAGUCCUGCCGAAUUUCUCUGGUGGGUUUAAAUGUUAACAAAGAGACUUUAAGUCUUGUCUGCCUUCAGCUGGAAGAAAAUAUGAAAGAUUAGAAACCUUCCACCUGUUACCCACCAUGCUGAUUUAGAGCCAUAAGAAAGGCACUCGAACAAUAAAUAGGCAACCGUAAAAAAAGAAAACCGAUUUGAGAGACAGACACCGCUUGAUCUACGCAGCCUGAUCAGGUGUGUGUGUGUGGGGGGGGGGGGGGGACAAAAAAAAAGCAAAACAAAAAAAAAUCUAAAGUCAGGACAGAAUUCCUGACUCUGUAGAGGCCAGGAGGUUAGAGCAUAAGGACUUCCACUUCCUGUCAGACCACACACCCCGGAUUCACACCCAGUUGAGCUGCUUGCUAGUUACCAGGCAAGUUAGCCUACUUACAAGCCUCCAUUUGUCAAUAAGUAAGGGGACAGGAACACAGGGCCACUCCUGUGAUUGCCCAGGGUGCUAAGGACUUAACAUUGCCAUGGUCUGGUGAGCAUCCAAGAGUUGGUGGUUGUAACUAUCCAGUGGUGUUACAGCGCUGGACAGGACCCACCAGGAGGGUCGGGGAAGCCUCUACUUAGAAGAUGGCGGAGCCAGGAGGGGGAACAGCAGGAAGGAAGGAGUUUUUAUUCAGGAUUUUAAGAAAGUUCAGGGUUGAAGGUUUGGGAGGCAUGUGAACUUAGGAACUCUUUGAAACCUUAAGUUUCAUGAAUGGGGAAUGUAAAGAUGAUAUGAAAUAAGAGUGCAGAGGCCAGAAAUGAGGCCCCCAAAUCUACUAAAAUUUCAUGUGGCCCUUGGUCAGCCUGCCUCUUUUUAAAAUAACAUCCUUUGGAAGAGAAUAUUGUCUCUCCUAGGUCUCCUCGAAGAUAGACUCUCAUGGUUUAUGAUCCAUCUCUGUGAGAAGACUUUAUUUGUCUGUAAGUUUUCAAGUCAGUGGGCCCCGUUCCAUAUCAGGUCAUGGUUUUCAAAAAAUAAAAACCUGCUCGAUUGACUUUCCUAAGCAAACCCCACACAUCCUUAAGCAAGAGGAAUCUUGCUAAAACUUAGAACAGUUUACGGCGACAUCUGACACUGUCUAAUUCAUUCUCGUGCAGAUUCUUAGACUAAAGGUUUCAAGCAUUUGCUUAGAUCAGACCAGGAGUAUCUCAAAGUGGGCAAGCCGAAAUGCAAGAAACCUCUUGAUUCACCUUGAGUUUCUGUGAAUGUUCACUUCAGACAGCAAGCAAAUGCAGUUCAUUAACUGAGCGUCAGGCACAUUGUAAACUGGAAACACACUUACUUCACAGGCAGACGGACAUCCUAGAAAUCAUACACGCUAGGUUGAUAAAGCUUCCACUUGUGUUCUCCGUGAGUGGCAUUAAAAAUUCAUUUAAACUAAUUAAUGUGAUUCUAUUUACCACAUGCCAAACUCCCUUCUUAGAAAAAAAAUGUGAUUUUUCUUGCUCUUCUGGAACUCCGAGACACCGCUUUGGCAUAGCUUAAUUUCACAGGGUCAUUUUCAUCUCCUGCUGCUGUUGCUGCUGCUUGUUGUUGUUGUUCUUGUUGUUGCCGUCAUCGUUGUUGUCGUCGUCCUCCUCCUCCUUCUCCUUCUUCAGUUGACACUUGAAAACCAUUCUUUCUCAGCUUUUGAAAUCUAAGGCCUGAAAAGCAGUCUGCAAGUAGCAUCCUGUCAAAGGCAGAGGGAUGCGUUUUCUUUUUCUUGUUGGUCUCAUUGCUGCUAUAUCACACUGUUGCAUGAAGCAUGGGACUGUCCUCCAAGGGGGCCCUGUCUGGCCUGCUCUAGGUGCCCCCACCCACCCCCUCGCCCCAGCACUGUUGAAGCUUGUGUAUGUGAGGCAGUGCUGGGUGGGCAGGUGGGAAAGGCUGAGUAGCUUGACUCUUCCCUGCUAGGCAGCCCUCUUUCAGGGCCGUUCACACUGUGUACCACAAGAGUAAGCUCUUGUGUGUCCGCUGCUGCCAGGCAUUGUUGGAGGCAGAAAAGAAUGGCUUUCUCUUUGGGAUGAUUUGAAUAUUUUGACAAUGGAGCCAAGCUACUCUACUGCCUGGCUUGCGAACCUCAUGUCCCUUAAGCCCCUUCCUGGGCAGGAGAAGUGAGCCCCUCCUCUCUGAAUCCAUAAAUUGGUAUUGUCUACUGGGGAGUUGGGCAGACUCAAUGAAGAGUCAUUCAGACUAAUUUUAUUCUUUCGCUUUCAUGUGUUUGAAAUCUCUUGAAAAAAAUAAGAGUUAACCCAGGCUUCUGGGGACCACCCAAUUAAAUGAUCAUAGUUGUUGUAGAGAAUUUUGAAAUUAGAUGAACCCAUGCACACGGUCUGUUUACACACGCAGAACGAGGACCAGACAGAAAACAAACAGGUUCAGACAAGUACAUGGUCACCUCCAGUUUUUUUCUGGACUGUAUUUAAUUGUUUUGUUUGUUUGUUUGUUUGUUUAAACUUGUCUAAAGAAAGCUGCAUUUAAAAGGAUGUUUCUAUACUAAACAAACAGACACAGCCUCUUUGAUCAGAUUAAGUGAACAGGUGGUCCUGUGACUAAACCAUUAGAUGAGAUAGAACUGGCUCUCAAAAUCAGUUGUCUUCAUAGUGGUUAAAAAAACCCUGAGGCAUCCUCUCUACCUGCAAGAAAAUCAGUUUGGCAGAAUAGUGUUCAGUUGAAAGAGGCCAAGUGGUCAGAUGCAUUGAUGAACAGGGAUAGUGUAGGUUUCUAAGUAUGUGUCAGCGUUCAGUGGUCCAUGGUUGGUAUGAAAUCCAGGCACUUGAACACUAGGGGAAAACAUUUUUCCAUGCUCCCAUCACGUUGUUUCAGUCUGUGCUGAUUUGUGAAGUGGCCUUGGAAUCUGCUAUUAACAAAACAAAACAAAAC
rnacentral:lncRNA from 1 species